CCUACGGGAGGCAGCAGUAGGGAAUCUUCCACAAUGGACGAAAGUCUGAUGGAGCAACGCCGCGUGAGUGAAGAAGGGUUUCGGCUCGUAAAGCUCUGUUGGUAGUGAAGAAAGAUAGCGGUACUAACUGGCCUUUAUUUGACGGUAAUUGCUUAGAAAGUCACGGCUAACUACGUGCCAGCAGCCGCGGUAAUACGUAGGUGGCAAGCGUUGUCCGGAUUUAUUGGGCGUAAAGCGAGUGCAGGCGGUUCAAUAAGUCUGAUGUGAAAGCCUUCGGCUCAACCGGAGAAUUGCAUCAGAAACGGUUGAACUGGAGUGCAUAAGAGGAGAGUGGAACUCCAGGUGUAGCGGUGGAAUGCGUAGAUAUAUGGAAGAACAUCAGUGGCGAAGGCGGCUCUCUGGUCUGCAACUGACGCUGAGGAUCGAAAGCAUGGGUAGCGAACAGGAUUAGAUACCCUUGUAGUC
rnacentral:rRNA from 1 species